UACGUAGGGGGCAAGCGUUGUCCGGAUUUAUUGGGCGUAAAGAGCGUGUAGGCGGCCAGGUAGGUCCGUUGUGAAAACUGGAGGCUUAACCUCCAGCUGUCGAUGGAAACCAUCUGGCUAGAGUCCGGAAGAGGAGAGUGGAAUUCCUGGUGUAGCGGUGAAAUGCGCAGAUAUCAGGAGGAACACCAAUGGCGAAGGCAGCACUCUGGGACGUGACUGACGCUGAGACGCGAAAGCGUGGGGAGCAAACAGG
rnacentral:rRNA from 1 species